CCGGUGCCGCCGGGUGCGGGGACCUGCCGGAGCGGGGCCAGGCCCCUCGGGAGGGUGCGAGAACAGAAUGUUUGCUUUUUGUACGAGGGGGUGAACUCCGCAGCUGGGAACGUUUGAAACAGCCCCGAGAGCCAGGCGCGGGCAGCGGCGGCCGAGGCGGAUUCGUGCGCCGAAGGUUUUCUACCUCUGGUGUCUCUCGGCCCUCCUGCCCCAGUGCCGGCCCUCGCCUGCGUUCUCGGGAUCCAGGCAUUUCGUACUUCAGGAGGAAUCUGGGUUACUCCGGAGUGACGUUUGGCUUAGAUGUGAGAUUUUUGUAAAAGGUCACGUUGCAGAAAUAGACUUCAAAAUUGGCAUAUUCCAGCUAAAGAGCAGGGGGACCAGGAGCCAAGCUUAAAGGGACAGUUAGAAAAUUGUGAAUUAAGUGCAAGGAACCCGAAGGAGAAGGAGGCAGGGGAGCAUGAAACCAUUACAUGGAUGUUGGGUGUUUUUCAAUAGUAACGAGGGAUGAGGUUAAGACAGAGCUGAAAGGAGCAUGACCAUUGUUUUACAUCUCCUGAGCACCACUGGAACCCCCAGUACUCUUCUGCUGACAAAAAUAUUUUCAAAAUCCACUGAAAGUAUACUGAAAUGGUUCACUCAUGCUGUUUGUCUGAGUGGCAGGGGCAUCUCUGCUCUUCUGAUGAUGCAUUACUUGGACUUUGAGGCAGGAGGAUUGUUUUUAUUUGAUUUCUGUAAUUGGUAUUUCUUUUAACUCUAGAAAAACUAAAAAUGCUACAGUAAAAGAAUAUGGCAGAAUUGCAUGAACUGCAUGAAGUCAAAUCUUCAGAAAUUAAAUACCAAAAUUAUAUUGUUACAUGAAGUAUAACAAAAUUGUUGAUAUAUAACAGUAUGUGUGUAAUAUAACUAUAUUGUUAUCAUUGCUAUUAUUACAAAAUUUUCUUACAGAAUUAGUAAGAUGACCAGAUGCUGGGGUUUCACUGGCUUCACAGACAUUCAUAGUUUGACAAAGCCUAGCAUGCAUUGACAAUGCUGAUAUAUGAGCUACUGGAUUUAGGGUAUACCUAGCAUAGUAUUAACACUUCAGCAAAUACAAUGACCCCUUCAAGAAGAGAGAGACAGAAAAUCCACAUAUUGAGAUCCUGCUGCUGUCUCACCUCCUGAAGAAGACAGUAUCUGGAUACUGAAUACUACAAUCUGAGGAACACAGGGAUGUGUGUUUAGAAUUAUAGACUAAUUUAGGGUGGAAAAGACCUUUGGAUUGAGUCUAUCUGUUAACACAUCGCUGCCAAAUCCAGCAUUGAACCAUGCCCCUAAGUACCACACCUACAUGUCUUUUGAAUACCUCCCUGGACAGCUUUUUCCAAUGCUUGUCAGCUCUUUCUGAAAGAAUUUUUUUCUAAUAUUCAAACUAUACCUCCUCUGGCACAACCUGAGGCUAUUUUCUCGUGUCCUAUCACUGGUUACUUGGGAGAAGAGUCCAACCCCCACGUGGCUAUGGCCUCCUCUCAGCCAGUUGUAGAGAGCAAUAAGGUCCCUCCUGAGCUUUUCUCUGAGCUGAACAAACCCAUAUUCCUCAGCUGCUCCUCAUACAAUAUCUGCUCCGGACCCUUCGCUAGCUUUGUUGCUCUUCUCUGGACAUGCUCCAGCACCUCAGUGUCCUUCUUGUAGUGAGAUACCCAAUGCUGAACACAGAAUUUGAGGUGCAGCCUCACCAGUGCCAAAUACAAGGGACAAUCACUGCCCUGGUCCUGCCUGCCACACUAUUUCUGAUACACAUUAAUCCUCAGCGUAGGGUAUCAGCUCACUUGUCUUUUAUUGAUUUAUCUGUACUUGCAUCAGAUGUAUGUUUACUGUUGUCCUUCCUGUGUUCUUCUGGCUGUCGUGAUCCUCUAAAACAAAUCUGGUAUCCUCUUCACCCACCUCAACACUGGUGUAAAAUAUCUGCCAAACAAACGUCACUGGUCUGUAUUUAGUGUUUGAUUUUAUAACUGGAGUGUUAUGCAACUGCACACAAAGCUGGUUAGUAGAGUGGACAGGUAGUAUCUGGGUAAAAUACACUAGUUCCAUCCCAGUCUUAUGUGCCUAUAUUCUAAAGCUUUUUCAGACACAGCCCACAGCUCAAAGGCAGCAACAAAAUGUUAGUAGAGCUGUUAAUACUUUAAGAGAUAAGCAAAAUCUGAUCAAUGAUUACCUGAAAUCUUUAUCUCUUUUCAUGUUGAAAUGGUAGGUUUCCUUUUUCCUUAAGUUAUAAACAACUUGGCUUUUCCUAAUGAUUAUGUCUCAAUGGACUGCCUUUUGCUGUCUGCAGAAGAUUGCACGGAAUAAGCUCCAAAGUGUCACUGGUGGCAUGUGCCAUUGAUCUAACAUCAUCAGUAAAAUGCCAGAUUUCCUGAAGGCAGGAAUAAUGUUGCUCCCCUAUAAUUCAGCAUCAUCCCUGUGAAGCACAGGCUAAUUCCAUGUAUCACAAAGGUUAAGUUUCAAUAAACUGUGAGGCAAUCUCACAAGCUCAUGUUUGCUGUUAAUGAAUACAACUUUGCCAUACUUUAGCUGCAGAGCGUACAACAUUAGUGCAGUAGAGCCUGAGGCCUUUUAUGGGGUUCACCUUUGGGGUAUUCCCAACAGGUGAAAAUACUUACUGCCUCAUUUCUGAACCUUUCACCUCUCUGCAGUCAACACAUCUGGCUGGCCACAGGGCAGAGCUAUGAGUGGCACACAGUGAAAUAUUUACUUCAGAACGAAAGCUGAGGUGAGCACCCAACUGUUCCACUUAGAGAUUAAUAUCCCAAGUCCUUGCUUAAGGGAGCUGACAAUGAAUUCCCUGCUGGCAUAUGUUCUGGGUCCAUCUAACAGGAGAGUUCACAGUCAGCAGCCUGAUCCCUUGACCUUGUCAAUGUAAAUAAAAUACACAAAAUUGUGCCUUCUGUGCUGUCAUCUGUGGGAAGAAGGCAUUGUGGCCUGCACGUUAUGACUGCAUUAGCAUUACAUGAAGAGAAUGAAAACCUUCACAGGCUAUACAGGUACGAAAAUGCAGAUUUAAAAUAGCUCUAAAUGACCUGGUCUGAGAUUUGAAAUCCCACUGAGUUGCAUUAAUAUAAUCUCUUGUGUGUAAUAUAAAUGAGAAUGAAUGGCACUACUUUUUUUUUUUUUCUGGGAAUUUUAAACUGAAAAUUGAUUAAACCUUUUUUUAAAGAAUGGCCUAAAAAUUUUGGAAAAAAAAAAAAAAAGCCAGCUGUCAUGCAGUCAUGAUAGGAUUUUCUUUCUAAAAGAAACGACCUUGAAGAUGUUUGUCAUUCAUCUCUUAAAGUCUGCAUCUGAAGUGAAGCACAAUCUUUACUUUCUCAGGGCAAGACUAUUUAACACAGGUCCUCCAGGGAAGCUCCAACUUCACUAGAAUUCUCUUAGUGUUUUUAAUACAGCAGCAUUAUCUUUUACACAAUAGGCAAAGACAAACCUUUAACAAUCUGAUUGUUGUUUCAGCUCUUUGUUUUACUUUUCCAUUACGUUCAGAUGAAACAGUUCAAACUGAAAAUUAGAGACAUUAACUGCAUGAACCAAGGAUAGAUUCCAAAAGAAGAUGCAGGAGAUACAAAAACGUCUUUCUUUUUAGGUCAACCAAAAUUUCAGUGUGUAUGAGUAUGAAACUUACUUUCACUUGUUCUCUUUGAUGUACUGUAUAAUUUUAUCAGACAGUCUCUCUGGGAAGAUUCAAUUUUAUGACAAGUGAAAGAAAUGUGUAAAUGGUAAUUAUGAGGAGAUUAAACUACCUGUACAUUGUUAGCUUAUACAUUAGAAGGUGGAUUUUUUUCCUUUUUUUUUAAAGUGGCUGUAUGGUAAAAUAAACACUUUUAAAGUCCACAAUGGAGCCUCUUAAAUAAGAAAAUACCUCAAAUUCCUCUAAAUGUAUUUUGACAAUUGAAAUAUGAUAUCUGUUUGAGUAGAACAGAG